GUCCAUCCAUCCAUUUUUUGAUUUUUUGUUUUUGAAAAUUGAAACCAGAUUUUGGAAAAGGUUUCAAAAAACAGGAAACAAAGUGAAGAGCAAAAAAAACAUUUAGAUCUUAAUUCCUUGUGAAGAAAUCCAUAUUGGUUGAUGCAUAUACGAUAACCGAAAUAUAUUUUUUCUAAACAUCAUGGGUUUCCAAAUCACGAACACAUGAAUACUGGUGCGCUUUAGUUCA
rnacentral:ribozyme from 14 species